UGAACCUUGAAAACACUACAUUCUGAUCGGAUUUUGGAUGGUUCAGUUUGUUCUUUGUGAUUAUGUAUCAUGUUCCUAGAUCGCUUGUUUAAGCAUUAGAAAGGUCAAACUUUGUAGCCUUAUGUGAAUCUUAGAUGAGAAAACUGUUCUCUUACUUACUAAUGUUUCAUCUCUUAGAUGAGAAUAGCUUGCCUACAGCAGCCUUAUCAGGAAGUGAAGAAUUUAGCCCCCCUGAGAUCAAAUCUAAAGGCAAGGGAAAGCAAUCUGAUGAGGUUGAUGGGAAAGCUACUUUGAACGUUCGCAAGCUCUCCACCACGGGUUUACAAUCGAGAAAAAACAAGCUCGUCUCUGGAGAAGAACUUGGGGAUGGAGUGAGGAGACAAGGAAGGACAGGCCGAGGAUUUGGUUCAACAAGGUCUGUCAACCCAAUGGGAGUUAUGAGACAGGGCACAACAAAACAACUUCGCAGUGCAAGGCUUACAAACGUCACAGAAAUACGUCUACAACACUAGAUUUUCUUGAGCUACUAGCUGCUGUUAACUCGGCUAUUAACUUUGCUCAGAAAUUUCCUAGCUCUUUCUGGAAGCAAAUGGAGCGCUAUUUUUGCUUUAUAUCUGAUGCACAUAUCACUUGUGUAGUUGGACGAGACAGAGACCAAGACUUGUUGGACGAAACAGAGAAGCAUGUGACAGAAGAAGCCAAGACUUGUGUACUUGGACGAGACAGAGAAGAAGAGUAGCUGCAUGUGACAGAAGAAGCCAAGAGUUGUAGUUGGCCGAGACUGAGAAGAAGAGAUUAAGCAUGUGACAGGAGAAGCCAAGGCUUGUAGUUGUAAAUGUUUUCUUUAUAAGGCUUGUGUAGUACCAUCGAAACAUAAACGUCUACUACAUUUUUGCUUCUAUCUUAUAAGACAGAGGAAGACAUUAUUUAAAGCUUUUGCUUCUAUCUUAUUAAAAAAACAUAAAACAUAAAGCUUCUAUCUUGUUUUCCUUUUACCACAUAUUCUCAAAUAAUUUCAGUUUACCACAUUUUUUUCCAAAUUCACAUUUCUUGCUUCUCACUUUCUUAAAUGGCAUCUUCUUCUUCUAAUAAUAUUGAAGACAUGAUGGAUGAAACAUUCGACCAAUUUUUCGAUCUAACAGUUCGACCAAUUUUCGAUGAAAAAUUCGACCAACUUUUCAAUCAACAAUUUGAAAUUCUUCUCAGUCUUCAUGGCCUGUCGAUUUCGGUUUCCACCUGUGAACUUCUGGUGACGCUUCCUUCUUCAAAUUCUGAUAUGUCGAUACGAGUGUAUCCAUUGCGUUCAUUUUCGACUAUCAUAUUGUGUAUUAUGAUACAUGCUCGCAUAAUCUUCCCUAUCUUUUCUUUGUCCCCUGUAAGAGCCGGGUUUUUGACAAUCGCAAAUCGAGCUUGCAAUACUCCAAAAGCCCGCUCCACAUCUUUUCGGGCUGAUUCUUGAACUUUAGCAAAUAACUCUUAUUUAGGACCUUGAGGAAGUGAGAUAGAUUGGAUAAAUGUUGACCAUUUUGGAUAUAUACCGUCUGUGAGGUAGUAAACGAACUUAUACUUAUGUCCGUUGACCAUAUAUUCUAACCUUGGUGCUCGACCUUCUAAAAUGUUCUCAAAAACAGGAGACCGAUCAAGGACAUUAAUAUCAUUUAAGGUACAUGGAGGACAAAAAUAGCGUGCCAUAUCCAAAGAUCUUGUGAAGCUACAGCCUCUAAGACAAUUGUGGGUUUACUUGAUCCACGUGCGUACUGUCCUUUCCAAGAGGUUGGGCAAUUUUUCCACUCC